rnacentral:rRNA from 1 species
UACGGAUGGAAGACUAGUUGUUGAUUCAUCAUUUGAUUAGGUUUAAAGGGUGACAUAGACGGGAUAAUUAAAGCCCUCCAAAGGGGUACAAAUUUAACGGCUAGAGUUUAAAAUGAGGAAGUAGGAACUUUUGGAAGGAGAGAUAUAAUAUCAAGAAACUAAAGGGACAAAGUAACGGUGAAGACGACUUUCUAAAUAAA